AGGGUUUGAUUCUGGCUCAGGAUGAACGCCGGCGGUGUGCCUAAUACAUGCAAGUCGAACGCGUUGGCCCAACUGAUUGACGAUGCUUGCAUCAGAUUGACGUUGGAUUUCCAACGAGUGGCGGACGGGGGAGUAACACGUAGGUAACCUGCCCAGAAGCGGGGGAUAACAUCUGGAAACAGGUGCUAAUACCGCAUAACAAUUCAAACCGCAUGGUUUGAAUUUAAAAGAUGGCUCUGCUAUCACUUCUGGAUGGACCUGCGGCGCAUUAGCUUGUUGGUAGGGUAAUGGCCUACCAAGGCAGUGAUGCGUAGCCGAGUUGAGAGACUGAUCGGCCACAAUGGGACUGAGACACGGCCCAU
rnacentral:rRNA from 1 species